GACGAACGCUGGCGGCGUGCUUAACACAUGCAAGUCGAACGGAAAGGCCCAGCUUGCUGGGUGCUCGAGUGGCGAACGGGUGAGUAACACGUGGGUGAUCUGCCCCUAACUUCGGGAUAAGCUUGGGAAACUGGGUCUAAUACCGGAUAGGACAAUCGUUUAGUGUCGGUUGUGGAAAGUUUUUUCGGUUAGGGAUGAGCCCGCGGCCUAUCAGCUUGUUGGUGGGGUAAUGGCCUACCAAGGCGUCGACGGGUAGCCGGCCUGAGAGGGUGGACGGCCACAUUGGGACUGAGAUACGGCCCAGACUCCUACGGGAGGCAGCAGUGGGGAAUAUUGCACAAUGGGUGCAAGCCUGAUGCAGCGACGCCGCGUGGGGGAUGACGGCCUUCGGGUUGUAAACCUCUUUCGACAGGGACGAAGCUUUGGUGACGGUACCUGUAUAAGAAGCACCGGCUAACUACGUG
rnacentral:rRNA from 1 species